GACGAACGCUGGCGGCGCGCUUAACACAUGCAAGUCGAGCGAUGAAAUUUCGACAGAACCCUUCGGGGUGAAGAUGAAAUGGAUUAGCGGCGGACGGGUGAGUAACACGUGAGUAACCUGCCUUAGACAUUGGGAUAGCCUCGGGAAACCGGGAUUAAUACCAAAUGAAAUCACAUAUGCACAUGCAUAAAUGAUCAAAGCUCCGGCGGUCUAAGAUGGACUCGCGUCCCAUUAGCUAGUUGGUGAGGUAACGGCCCACCAAGGCGACGAUGGGUAGCCGGCCUGAGAGGGUGAACGGCCACAUUGGAACUGAGAAACGGUCCAAACUCCUACGGGAGGCAGCAGUGGGGAAUAUUGCACAAUGGAGGGAACCCUGAUGCAGCGACGCCGCGUGAACGAAGAAGGCUUUCGAGUCGUAAAGUUCUUUUAUAUGGGAAGAUAAUGACGGUACCAUAAGAAAAAGCCCCGGCUAACUACGUGCCAGCAGCCGCGGUAAUACGUAGGGGGCUAGCGUUGUCCGGAAUCACUGGGCGUAAAGGGUUCGCAGGCGGAAAUGUAAGUCAGGUGUAAAAGGCAGUAGCUUAACUACUGUAAGCAUUUGAAACUGCAUAUCUUGAGAAGAGUAGAGGUAAGUGGAAUUUUUAGUGUAGCGGUGAAAUGCGUAGAUAUUAAAAAGAAUACCGGUGGCGAAGGCGACUUACUGGGCUCAUUCUGACGCUGAGGAACGAAAGCGUGGGUAGCAAACAGG
rnacentral:rRNA from 1 species